UGCAAGUCGAACGGUAACAGGGGAGCUUGCUCCCGCUGACGAGUGGCGAACGGGUGAGUAAUGCAUCGGAACGUACCGAGUAAUGGGGGAUAACUAUCCGAAAGGAUGGCUAAUACCGCAUACGAUCUUAGGAUGAAAGUGGGGGACCUUCGGGCCUCACGUUAUUCGAGCGGCCGAUGCCUGAUUAGCUAGUUGGUAGGGUAAAAGCCUACCAAGGCUACGAUCAGUAGCGGGUCUGAGAGGAUGAUCCGCCACACUGGGACUGAGACACGGCCCAGACUCCUACGGGAGGCAGCAGUGGGGAAUUUUGGACAAUGGGGGCAACCCUGAUCCAGCCAUGCCGCGUGUCUGAAGAAGGCCUUCGGGUUGUAAAGGACUUUUGUUAGGGAGGAAAAUUUACCCAUUAAUACUGGGUAAAGCUGACAGUACCUAAAGAAUAAGCACCGGCUAACUACGUGCCAGCAGCCGCGGUAAUACGUAGGGUGCAAGCGUUAAUCGGAAUUACUGGGCGUAAAGCGAGCGCAGGCGGUUUGUUAAGUCAGAUGUGAAAGCCCCGAGCUCAACUUGGGAAUUGCGUUUGAAACUGGCAAGCUAGAGUGUGUCAGAGGGGGGUAGAAUUCCACGUGUAGCAGUGAAAUGCGUAGAGAUGUGGAGG
rnacentral:rRNA from 1 species